rnacentral:tRNA from 1 species
GCGGGCUUCUUCGAGGUGAGGCAAGAGCCUUCCAAGCUCCCAAGGUCGGUUCGACUCCGACAGUCCGCUCCA